AACCAUAGAAACCUGCGGAGUACCUGCGGAGGGAUCAUUACCGAGUUUCCAAAACUCCCCAACCCAUGUGAACUUACCUCUCGUUGCCUCGGCGGGAUCGCCCCGGGUGCCCCAGGCCCCGGACCCAGGCGCCCGCCGCAGGACCCCAAACUCUUGUUUAGUGGAAGCUUCUUCUGAGUGAGAAAACAAAUAAAUCAAAACUUUUAGCAACGGAUCU
rnacentral:misc_RNA from 1 species